GUGCUCACUUCAGCAGCACAUAUACUAAAAACUGGAACAAUACAGAAAAUAUUAGCAUGGCCCCUCCACAAGGAUGGCAUGCACAUUUGUGAAGCAUUCCAUAUUUAA